rnacentral:siRNA from 1 species
CUUGACCACGAGCUCGAGUAUAGU